rnacentral:rRNA from 1 species
GUCUAUAUGUUUAUAAUAUAAAGUGUAGCCUGCCCACUGGCGUAAGCUUAAGGGCCGCGGUAACAUGACCGUGCAAAGGUAGCAUAAUCACUAGCUCUUUAAUUGAAAGCUUGAAUGAACGGUUGGACGAUAGAAUAACUGUCUGGUCUGCUUGAUUAAAAUUUAACUUUUGUGUGAAAAGGCACAAAUAAAAUAAGGGGACGAUAAGACCCUAUAAAACUUCACAUGCGACGGUUGGCUCUUAGACUUAAUUAAUAAAUAAGGGUGAGCUUGAGCUUGUUGGGCUGGGGCGGCAAAAAAUAUAAGAUUAUAACUAACUGUUUGAAAAAGAAUAUACUUAUGGGUAUAAGAUGAACCUUUAUGUUGAAGAUUAAGAGAUUAAGUUACUUUAGGGAUAACAGCGUGAUUUUCUUUGAGAGUACAUAUCGACAAGAUGAGUUGCGACCUCGAUGUUGAAUUAAGAUGGUGUCUAGGGGCAGAAGUUUACUAUGGCAGGUCUGUUCGACCUUUAAUAUCUUACAUGAUUUGAGUUCAGACCGGUG